UACGUAGGUGGCAAGCGUUGUCCGGAUUACUGGGCGUAAAGAGCGCGCAGGCGGUCGUUCAAGUCGCGUGUGAAAGCCCCCGGCUCAACUGGGGAGGGUCACGCGAUACUGAUCGACUCGAAGGCAGGAGAGGGAAGUGGAAUUCCCGGUGUAGUGGUGAAAUGCGUAGAUAUCGAGAGGAACACCUGCGGCGAAGGCGGGUUGCUGGGCUGACACUGACGCUGAUGCGACGAAGCGUGGGGAGCGAACAGG
rnacentral:rRNA from 1 species